rnacentral:misc_RNA from 1 species
AAAACUGUUCCCCAUAUUCAUGGGUAUAUAUUUAUUUAUCUGUUCUCGUGAAUUAAUAGAAUAAUUAACCUAACCUAACCUAACCUAUUCCACCUGUUUUCUCGUACAUUAAUAAAAGAAAAAGAUGCUCGACGAAGUAGUGGACGAGCUGAAAAAGAUUCCAACCUCGGCCCUUUCUGCUUUCUGGAUUCGAUUCGUGAUUAUAUCAACUGUCACCUUGACUUGGCUAGUUUCCUUCCUACCUUGGUAUCUACAGGUGUUUGGACUGUUUUCCGUGGGGUUCCUGGUGUUUGCGGCCAAGGCGUUGAAGAUUAAGAUCCUGGCUGGCUCCGCCACAGACCCGGAGAAACAAGAGGCGGAGGAGAGACCCGCCAUCGUACUAGCUAUGUCUCCAAAAUCCGACAAGCAAGAGAUUGACCAGUCAUGGCACUGCGUGAACCCCAGCAAGGUGGUGGACUUUGUCAAGACCAUCUCGGACAAGACCUGCAUCUCCCUCGGUGAGAAGUUCAAGGAGGAGCACCUGGAGAAGUCUGACUGGUUGAACCUGACCCUCCAGCACCUGUUCCGGAACAUGAGGGCAGGGAUGGAGGACAUAAUCUUGAACAUUAUCUGGCCCCAGGUCUGGAAACAAUUGCAGGAUCUUCCCAUCAACCUGGAGAUCGAACUUUACACUCUCAGUUUAGGUAUGGUAGCUCCAACCUUUGAUGAGAUUAAGGUUCUAAAGGAGAUUGAGGAUUCUAUAGUCUUGGACUUAGCUCUCAGCUAUCCCAGUGAAGCUGCUAUGCAAGUGAAGAUUAAAACUGAUGUGAUACCUAAAAUGACUGCUGAGAUAUCCUCUAUUCUUCUAACUCUAAGUAUAAGAAUUACAAUACGGAAUGUAUCUUCUCACCCUCCAUUUAUUCAAGGGUUUGAAGUGAGUUGUAAGAACUAUCCUGAGAUAGAAUGGUGCUUGAAGGUUCUAGGUUCUAACAUGAGCAAGAUUGCGGGUCUUGACAGAACUAUUAAACAACUCAUACGAGAUAACGUCAAGAUGUUAGUUUACCCCAAAAAGCUAUGUUUUCCUGUGGCAAUGAUCCCUCUUGAUCCCUUGCUGAAACAGAAGCUUGGACUCAAGGAUGGAUAUGAUCCUUGCUUUAGGAUGGUGAUCCCUCAUCCCAGAGGAGUUGUCAGAAUCAAAAUAAAGAACGUUAUCUUCGACUCCCCCCGCGAGUACCUUCUCCUGAAAACCCGGGAUCCCUACUUGCUUAUCCGGGUCGGUUCCGCCGAGUUUCGAUCCAAGACGAAGACACGAACGAGCAGACCCGAGUUCAAUGUCCUCUGUGAGAUCCCUGUUGACAUCACGACGGACAUGAAGGUUGAGAUAUAUCUGAUGGAUGAUGAUCUGGGGACGGAUCAGGAAAUUGGAAGAUUUGUUGAAAAACUGGAGUUUAUUGAACACUGUUGUGAAGGUGAGCAGGCGUUGAGAUGGAAUGGUUUAUUAGGACGGAAUCCUUGUAAAAUAUUCUCUAGUGCUCAGUGGAUAUCUCAGUCAUUUCAUCUUGAUGAAACUUGGAGCGGUAGUGGAGUGCUAGCCUUCUCUUGUGUUAGACUUAGAGGAACUUCCUUGAUUAAGCCUAAACUUACUUUAAAGUUGGAUGAUUAUACACCUGAGAUCGGAGAACAUCUGAUAGAAAGAUCAUGGGAUGCUAUCACAGCUUUUAAGACCCUGGAGGAGUUCAGGAUUUGUCCUUUAGAUCGGGAAAAUUGGGACCUUUUUCUCCUUCAGGGGGGAAAAAUGCGAUUGUUACCCGGAGAUUCUAGGGUGUGGAUUAUAGUGCAUGAUCUGCUGGAUAGACGGGACGAGGUUGGGAGAAGAGAGUGGAAAGGAGAAGUCCAUCUCUCACAGAUUCUUAAAGCAGGGAAAUCUCCGUUGGAGAUUAAGCUUAGAAUUGGGUACACUAAACCUCAGAUACUCGCAAACAAGCUGAGAAAGAGAAUUAGGGAACAGGGCCAGGCGAUUAUUGGAAUUAGUCCUUCUAAACUGAAAUCUAAAGAAUCUGAGAAGCUCCGUGUCACCCUACAGUUUUCAGUUUACAAAGAUAAAGAGUAGAGAAAUAAUAUCAGUCCUGUUCUGACAGGAUUGAAAAUACACGUCAAGCUUAUGUUUUAUAAAGGGACUUCUCUUUAACUGUUUUCCUAUUGUUUUCUUGUUUCAUGUUUACAUUAGUUAAAUAUUCUUUAGCAAGUCUUGUUUUUUGUUCUAGUUCUAAAUUAAAUAUUGUCAAUGAAAAGUAUUUGUCCUAAAUCUUCUAAAAAUUGGGGUUUUCUUUAAGAAAUGCAUAUAUUUAAUUUAACCCUUUUCCUAAUCUCAAAACAUUUUUUUAGCGAGAAAAA